GUUAGGGGAGCGAGCGUUAUCCGGAAUUAUUGGGCGUAAAGAGUGUGUAGGCGGGGUUUAUUAAGUCUGAUGUGAAAGACCCCCGGGCUUAACCGGGGGAGGGUCAUUGGAAACUGGUAGACUUGAGUACAGUAGAGGCAAGUGGAAUUCCACGUGUAGCGGUAAAAUGCGUAGAUAUAUGGAGGAACACCAGUGGCGAAGGCGGCUUGCUGGGCUGGAACUGACGCUGAGACACGAAAGCGUGGGGAGCAAACAGGAUUAGAUACCCUGGUAGUCCACGCCGUAAACGAUGGGCACUAAGUGUUGGUAGAGAUAUCAGUGCUGUAGUUAACGCAUUAAGUGCCCCGCCUGGGGAGUACGGUCGCAAAGACUGA
rnacentral:rRNA from 1 species